rnacentral:rRNA from 1 species
UACGUAGGCAGCAAGCGUUGUUCGGAGUUACUGGGCGUAAAGGGUGCGUAGGCGGCUUUUUAAGUUUGGUGUGAAAUCUCCCGGCUCAACUGGGAGGGUGCGCCGAAUACUGAGAGGCUAGAGUGUGGGAGAGGAAAGUGGAAUUCCUGGUGUAGCGGUGAAAUGCGUAGAUAUCGGGAGGAACACCAGUGGCGAAGGCGAUCUCCUGGGGUUGUUCUGACGCUGAGGAGCGAAAGCUAGGGGAGCAAACGGG